AGAGUAUACUGUGUCUAAGCAGCCUGGCAUGAUGAAUGUGUACUACUGAUCCCAUGCAUGUGAAAUUCUAGGACAGACAACUUUGGGAUGUCAGGAAGCAGACCACUAGAUCCUUAACAGGGCACAGGAUGGAACCACUCAGGGUGAUGGAUGUGUAUUUGAUCGAGCAGGAUUUCUGUAGCCUCGCUAGAUUCAUUCCGGGAAAGCUCACACCACUGUUGUAAAUGAUAAUUUAAAAUAUGAUCCUGUCAGAAUAUGGUCCAAGAAGAGAGUCAUAUGAGGAGAAUUCUGAGCUCUUGAGAGAAAAACUCCAGGAAACCAAGAGUCUUGGGACCCCAGCUUCUUCACAAACACGAAAUUGUUCUUGGAUUAUGCUUUCGUGCCCCUGCCAGGUCUUUAGGCUUUAUCCAAUCUUCUUUAUCCUGUUCAACUUAAGGAAGUUUUGGAGUCAGCUCUGUAGCACAUUUUGGAUGGAGAAGAUCUGAGAGGAGUUAUACUCAACACUACUCAGAGAUGCACCAAGAGAGCCUCGCUGGGGCUUAUGCAAACCACAAAGCUAGAAGAUACAUUUCCUUUCAGUCCUGGACCCCAAGUAACAAUAGCAUAAAGCUAAAAAGUGAUUGGCACCAGGAGAAGUUGCCUUGCUUGUUAGUGUGUUCAGUGAUCAGCACUCCACUUUAAAAUAGCAUUUCUGAGUUGAAUGGUAAACACUGGUGCUCGAAGAUGGAAGAUAGUUCAGCACUGAGCAGGUGGAAGUUGUUGGCAGCAACCUGUCAAGGCAUGAGUCUUCAUAUGAACAAAAGCAUGUGCAGCACACACAGGAUAUGGCCAUUUCCUGAACCAUCCCCCAUGUCCUGUGGGAGAACUCUACCCCAAAUGUUUAUAAAUUGCAUACCUUUAAAGAAUACUAUUAAAAGCACAAUAAUAAAUCCA